UACGUAGGGAGCAAGCGUUGUCCGGAAUCAUUGGGCGUAAAGCGCGCGUAGGCGGCCCUGUAAGUCCGUUGUGAAAGUCAAAGGCUCAACCUUUGAAAGCCGAUGGAUACUGCAGGGCUAGAGUCCGGAAGAGGCGAGUGGAAUUCCUGGUGUAGCGGUGGAAUGCGCAGAUAUCAGGAGGAACACCAAUAGCGAAGGCAGCUCGCUGGGACGGUACUGACGCUGAGGUGCGAAAGCGUGGGGAGCAAACAGG
rnacentral:rRNA from 1 species